AGCGAAGCAGUGAUGUGAAAGCCGAAACCCAAAAAUACAGUCUCAGUUCGGAUUGAAGUCUGCAACUCGACUUCAUGAAGCUGGAAUCGCUAGUAAUCGCGGAUCAGAACGCCGCGGUGAAUACGUUCUCGGGGUUU
rnacentral:rRNA from 1 species